UAGGGAAUUUUCCGCAAUGGGCGCAAGCCUGACGGAGCAACGCCGCGUGAGCGAGGACGGCCUUCGGGUUGUAAAGCUCUGUUCUUCGGGAAGAAUGACGGGAGGGCGAACAACUCUUCCGUUUGACGGUACCGAAGGAGAAAGCCCCGGCUAACUACGUGCCAGCAGCCGCGGUAAUACGUAGGGGGCGAGCGUUGUCCGGAAUUAUUGGGCGUAAAGCGCGCGUAGGCGGCCGGUUAAGUCCUGUGUGAAAGACCACGGCUCAACCGUGGGGGUGCAUGGGAAACUGGCCGGCUUGAGUGCAGGAGAGGGGAGCGGAAUUCCCGGUGUAGCGGUGGAAUGCGUAGAGAUCGGGAGGAACACCAGUGGCGAAGGCGGCUCUCUGGCCUGUAACUGACGCUGAGGCGCGAAAGCGUGGGGAGCGAACAGG
rnacentral:rRNA from 1 species